AGUUGGCUGAUUACAAAAUGGUACUUUAUUUUCCGAUCGGAUAAGAAUUGGCAGAACUAUGCACAUCGGAAGGUGGAUAAAUGGGGGAAACUCGGAAAUCCCUCAAUUUCAUGGGGGUACCCCUUGAAAAAUUUCGAAAACUUUUAAAAUCACAUUUAAGCCCAAUUUUGAAUGUGGAAAGUGGCUUCUGAGUUCGCUGAUUACAAAAUGGUACUUUAUUUUCCGAUCGGAUAAGAAUUGGCAGAGCUAUGUACAUCGGAAGGUGGAUAAAUGGGGAAACGUGUCAGAAUCCCCUUCAAUUUGUUAUAAUGUGAUUCCUAGAAAAGAAAUAUAUUUUGAAAUUUUUACAAAACAAAAAAAAACUUCAAAGACCAUUCUGUAAAAAAUUAAUAAAAGAAAACACCAGUUGCUUCGUUUACAUAAAGUUUUAAUUAAUCUUUAUUUGAUCUUUAAUAGUAAAUAUAUUAAUUUUUUAUCCAAUCUCUCUUUCUCUUUCUCUUGUUAUCUUCCACACUCGCUCUCUCUCCCUCUGCCGUCUCCCCGUCUCUUUUUCUGGGGUCUUCUGGCUUUUCCGCUGUAGUACAAUACUUUGUAUUUUCAUUAUUUAUAUUAAUUUAUUUAUUUAUUUAUUUAUAUGUAUAGGUUUAUGUAAACUUGACAUCCACAAAUACACACAAAGCCUGAUCCUUGUAUUUUUAUUUUUUUUUUUAGCUAGGAUAUAGAAUAUAGAUUUGGGGACUGGUUGGGAGUCGAUAGUUAGCCGAAAGAAGAACAAAUCGGAAAUCGGAGAGGGCGAAACACUGAUUAGCUCCAAAUGAGAGAGAAAUGCGAUAAUCGUGUCCUUUUUCGAUAAUUUUCAUAAUGCAAU